UGAUUCUGGAGCUAGCAUAUUAAGUGGUGACCUCCUAAUGUGGAGAUGGUUUCCUGAUCCAGAUGCUUCCUGUCACAGUGGUGGCAGUGUUCCAGUCACAUCAGAAUUAGUUUGGUUUUGCAGUCAGCAAUAGUGCAAAUAGACUCCUGAUUUAUUAUCUUCCUGCAUUGGCGAUGGUUGCUUUUUCAUUCACAGUAGUGGCAGAAUGUUUCUGAGGGCUAGAAGUUGGUCCUGGGAGAUUAGCCUGAAGCCUGCUCCUCCAGCUGUUCAAUUUACCCUCAAGACUAAUUUAGAUGGAAAUCAGAUGGAAAGCCUGAUGCUGCAGUUUGUUGAAUUAUAAGGGGCCCCAGGGAAGAGUCACUACUG
rnacentral:lncRNA from 1 species